UUUCAUACUAGGUGGAUGUGGCAUGGAUUCCGAACCAAAAAAGAACAGUCAGGAUGACGAAGUAUCUUCCGGUGGUUCGGGGAACCUCUUGGACAAAGGUGUUGCGUCCGCUAGUGGCGUAGCGGAGGUGGAUGGUAAGUACAUUGCGGUGGAGAACUCAUCAUGUCACCCUAACCCAAAUUCGUGAUGCAAAUGGAUAAAGUGCUAAUUAAAGUGGAAUUGUUUUGUAGGCGGUGCGACAAACAUGUCGGGGGAGGCCAGCAUACCCGUGCAAUGCAAUGACCCACCCACCACAAAGAGGCGACGAUCGACACGCAUCCGACGUCCUGCUGUAUCUACAAAGACUCCGUACACCAGGGGGAGGGCGAAGAGAGUGAAGAAAUGAGGUAUUUUUGGCGUAAUUUGACAUGAUUUCAAGUUUGUGUGGAGUUCGUCUUUGCAUAGUCGUACGUUUAUGUUAUUCUAA
rnacentral:lncRNA from 1 species